AACCGGCGAACGGGUGCGUAACACGUGAGCAACCUACCGAAAUGUGGGGGAUAGCCGGCCUAACGGCCGAGUAAUACCGCAUACGCUUUCAGUGAGGCAUUUCAUUGAAAGGAAACCUACGGGACAUUUCGAGGGGCUCGCGGCCUAUCAGCUAGUUGGCGAGGUAACGGCUCCCCAAGGUAACGAUCCGUAGCCGGCCUGAGAGGGCGGUCGGCCACACUGACACUGACAUACGGGUCAG
rnacentral:rRNA from 1 species